rnacentral:tRNA from 1 species
AAAGUACGAAGUAAAAUUUACUUUUAGUUUCGACCUAAACAUAGGGACAUAAUAGCCCCUUACUUUU